GAACAGACAUGUAGCUUCAGAGUUCACAUGUGAGCACCUUUCCUUUUCCUCCGAAAAACGGAGGGCGAUGAAAUGAAAUAAUGACAAGUGGUGAAAUAAUGGCACAGGUAAUAUUGGCAAGAGAUUCUAUUUUCCCGCCAAAUAUUUAUUGCGUUGAGGGUUUAUAGAAAAUCAGUUUAAAAAUUGGUAGCCUUGCCUUUUAAAGAAGAUAAAAUAUUACAAAUAUAGGGAACAGCACACAAGUCCCCCUCACUCCGUUUUUUAAAAUCUCUUUCAACUUUUUAAAAAUCAUGGUUAGGGAUAAACAGAUUUACUUCUAUUCCUAAAGAAAAUUGUAUCUGUAGUCUUAAGAGAUUCUUCGUUUAUAAUUACUUAAGAUGUGGCACGUAUCAAAACGUGUGCAAAUCCACAGAUGGUGUUCAUGAACCUACAGGGGAGAUAUUUUACAGGAUUGAGAAGUAGAGGAAAAUAAAGAAAUGAUACUCUUCUGAGGAGUGUGCCUCCAGGACCUUAUUUGGGAGCUCCGGAAAUCUCAGAAGUCACCCAGUCCAGGAUUCUUCCCUCACCAGGGCUGACUCCUCGGAAUUCUUGUCCUGCUUGUUCACUGUCCUCUUGGCCACUUCCGGGGAGGAGCAAACUGGAACAUCAGCUUGGUUUCCUACACCGCAGCCCAGGCCAUUUCAGGUGGAAAGUUUCUUCUACAGUUAUGCAUCCCUGGGUCCGGUUCUGACCAGGAUGCCAUUCACAAUGAAUCUGCUCUCUCUCUCGUGGUCCCUGAAGGUAGUUCCUGGCUGUUCUUUGGGGCUGGACUCAGACUCCCUGUUACUCUGUGGUGAGGGGUCUGGCGAGUGCAUGGAGCUGGGUUGGGAGAGAUUACGAAUAAGGCUCCCUGUGGCUGGCUGUCCUGACUGACGUUAAGUGUCGGAGGCAGCCUCUGAGCCGGGAAUGACCUCACCACCUCCCAGUACUCCAUCCCUGCAGCAACUUACAUGUUGGUGGAGAACCCACCCGGGAAAGGGGUGAAGGAAGUUAUUUCCACGGGUGGGUCUUGGAAGAUGGAGACACAGACGGAUUGGCAACCUUAGGAGUGGCACCCCUCAGCGGUGGAGCUUGCUGAGGCUCUUUAGCCCCCGUGCAGGAGUGUAGGACGGUGCUUGGCAAACUUCAGCAUGCACGUGACUGGGGGCCGUGAAUGUACCUUCCUGACAAGACCUCUGGCAAUGUGAGUGUUGCCGGCCUGUGCACCACACUCAGAAUAGCAGGGCCGUAGAAAACGUUGCUUGGGAGCAUAGUAUGAGGUGGUAGGCAGUUUGGGCCAGAAAGGUCAAAACUUACUUAAGGGAAACUGUCAAAGUCCUCUUUUCCCUGCUGCUCCUCCCCCUUUAACUAAAGAACUGAAGUCUCCGUAGAAUCAGGAAAAAAAGCAACUCCCAUGGAUCCAGUCUGGAGUCAUCUGCGGUGCUCACAUGUAAGCAAGUCAGACAGAUUGCAGGAGCCUGGCAGCACCCAGGCCCCAUGGGCCACAGCAGGUGGAUGGAACAGACUUGGGGAUGAGGUCUGUCAUCUGUCCCUGGGAGGACAGGCAGGCCUGAGUGCUGGCUGUGCUUUCAUUGCCAAAGGAUGGUCGAUAUUCCCCAACACAAAGCCUAUUCCUUGCAGUGACCUGCUGAGAACAGGGCAGUAGUGGCUCCAGGGUUUUCCCACCAUGCAUUGGGAAAGCAUUGCUUUUGAGGUUGCUUGGUGAUACUCUGAAGGAAUAGCCUCCUCCUCUACUACACACUGAGUGACAGCUGUGUGGACUUGGCAGAAAAGUGAGUGAGGUCGCUGCUGUUGCUUGUGGGAAUGAGCCACUCGCCUCCUCUGCAGCUCUGUUGGCCCAGGAUGAGCCCAGGGCCAGAGUAGUCCACAGGCCUUGGUGUUCUGUGAUUCCUUCCUUUCUCCCUCCCUUCCAGAACAUAAAGACUUAUGUUGCUGCUAUGAGGAAUCAUUCCUUCAUACCAGAGUAACUCAAGACCUUCUUCCUUUUGAUUGGUUUUGAGGCAGAGUGGUUUUGAGGGAAAGGAAGUAGUUGUAGGGAUGUUGUGUGAUGCAGGUGACCUUCAUUCCCGAGGGAUAAGGUGUGCGUGCUUUUGCAGGGUCUGACACCGUGAGGGAGUAAGCCAGUGCUGCCUGGUGCUUGUGUCCAGCUGAAGCCCGGCUGGCUCAUCAGAGCCCUGCAUACGCGGGUUCAGCAGAAACUUGAGGGGGAGGAGUGUUUGUGCGGAGGGCCAGGGGGCUGAGGAAUGCCUAGGGAUAGCCUUGAAAGGUGGAGAUUCUCACGUGUCAUCACUGCAGGCACCACCCAGCCUCUUUACUAAGUGGGUCUCAGUGAGUGUCUAAUCUGUGGCCGAAAUCCGAUGAGAAAGAAUCUUAGUGUACAAAGUAGGGUGACUGGCAGUAUUUCAGUGGCAGUUUGGCACUGGUUGCUUUUACCUUUGUCUUUGAGAAAGUAAUCUUUGGUAAAGUUCAGUGUUGAGAAUAGGAUUUAACUAAGAGCCAGUCGCUUGCGAACCUGAAUGGGCGUACUAAGCUUUUAGAGUGGGAAUGUCAUCAGCUGGAUGCCUCAUUCCCCAGCCCUGUAAUAUCAAAAACAUAGUGAUACAACAGACAUGCACAGAGCCAAGAAAAAUUGCUUAUUACCUCAAGAUACAAUAUGACAAGGACUCAUUUUACCAAAGAGUUUUUGCUUCAGAAGGUGGCCAGGGUCAGAUCAGCCUCACUUUUAUUGCCGCUGCUGGCUUUGAACAUGGGAACCUCGGGCAGUGACUUCAGAUGUUAGCGUGUGUGGGCAGCAGAGAGCAAGGCAUGUGUCAGAGCUGCACGUAGAUCUGGGAGCAUCUGGGAGCUUGACAGCUCUGGGUCCUUGUUUGCACUUGGUGAUGCAAACUGGAGAGAGGGCCGCCUAUGGGAAGAUUGCCUUCGGUUCUUCUCCCUCACACCCUCGCUAGAUGGUUCUUAAUGCGGAAGGUAGGAUGAUUAGGUAGUAAGAAAACUAUGUACUUUUUAGCCAAACAUCUAAAGUUAUCAUUCAUGUUCAGUGCUGUGGUCCCACCUCUUGGAAAAUUUCCAAAAGAAGCCAGGGACCUCGUGGUUGUCCUCGAGUCUCAGGAACGGGGUCUGUGGCUUUGUGAUGGUGAUGCCUUAUCCUUGGCACCGCUCUUUACUCAGUGGGCACGGCAGGUUGCAUGAGUGCUUGUGCGUUCAGUUGAAAUCCUUUUAGAACAUUUCCAUGUUAGGACCCUCUGACUGAUGUGCAGACGCAGAAGUGUCUUGUGAAAUGCUGAGAGUGCACUGGUGUUUGUGCUUGGGUGUGUGUGCACUGUGCCAUGUGAGUGCUUGGUCAACUGCCAGGCAGGGCUGAUUGGGAUGGGACAGGAAGCUGGGGCCCGUGGAGGUGGGUAGGAACGGAGGCGGAGAGGCACCGGGGACCGGAGCCAAGCAUGAGGCGGUCAUGUCCCAGAGGCCAGCUGGUGAGUCCUGAGGCUGCCAGGAGGACACAAGCAAUGAUAAUGGAGGUGUGCUUUUGAGGCCAAAACGAAAGCUUGGGCUUUCUCUGAAACUGGUAUUGGGCUCUUUUCCAGUGUUCUCAGAAGUGAUCGGAGAUUUCAUCCUUUAUUCCUUGUUUCUCCUGUUGGGUGUCUACACAUCCCAGAAGGCAGUCCGGUUGUGCCGGCGGAGACCGGUCCCCAGGACCAGUGCACAGGGCAGGUUGUUGAUAGAGAGCCUCACGUCUGCAGCUCGGGUCAGUAAAAUACGGCAGAUGUCUUCAGUCGCUCUCAUUAUCUAAGCUGAUCUCUGGACCUUACAGAUAACAAACACCGAAGGAGAAGGCCGCCGGUUUCCUGACGGCCAAUUUCAGGUCUUUUUCCUCUGUGCUCUGUUCUGCGUCUUCAGCCGCCAUCUCCUGGAAGGCAGGGGCUGUUUCUCGUUCAUCUUUGUAUUCUUAGGACCUGGCACAGUGCCGGACGUAUGCAGUGACACUAAUUAGUCUCUUCCUUGUAUGAAGUGAAAGGUGCAAGGAUUAGAUAUGACCUCGACACCCUUGGGUUUAUUGGAAGGUUUUUUUGCGUGCCCCCAUCUGCACCCCCAAUACAUCACAGCCUGUUUCCUGCAUUCUAAUUUUGAUCCUUCAUCACCAUGGUCCUUCAUUGCUGUUAUUUGCUAGAGGCUGUGAAAGAAAUUAAAUGUGUGCAAGCUUAGGCUGACCUUUAAGGGCUCUUUGUUCUGUAGGCGGAAGCCAUUUGGAUGGACUCUCAGCUGCACAGGCAAGGUUGAUACUCCCCUUGAAAGCACAUGGGCAUGCGCCUAAGGAUUGAUGCUUUUUGGUGUGAUGUUUACAGGAAAUAAACUGGAAACAAGUUUAAAUGCACUCACCCACAGUCUGUUGAUUGUUCGUUAACCCUUAUCAGAGUAACCUCUAUCCUGGGUUAAUCUGGUAAACUACACGGUGUCCAAAUGAGAUUCUCUAAUAAUGACGGUGUCUCAUCUGCUGGUCUCCGCACAGCUUUCCCAGGGGGCUGCUGCUCUUUUGGCAGAUGCAACGGCUAUUUCUUUCCUGUGUAGGAUUUUGCUUUUACUAGGAGCCCGGAGUCCCUCCGAGGUUUGCCAUAUACAGCCUUCAACCCAGAGCAUGGCCUCCCAGAUGGUAAUUAAUGUUUAUACAAACUGGAAUCUCUUUGAGCCCUGCCAAGCACCCAUCAUUCCCCUGAUCUCCCACUCUUGCAGUGUUUGAAAAUUAAUUUGCCUUGAACAAACAGUGGGUUUUCCUCAAUUUAUUUGUACAGUUUCAGUGACCGAGAAGAGCUGCAAGACCAAAUGUCACCCUUCCAUUCGUUCAAGUGAUUGAAUCUGCUAAUGGAACAAACUGGUCUCUGUUUAAUGAUUUGAAGAACAGAGAGAGAGGAGGAAAAGAAAGAGAAGUGUAUGUUAGAGAAGAUAGACUUGGUCUGCCAAACACCACUGGAUUGUAGUUUUCGAAGCAGAAUCUAAAACUUGGGGAAAGGUAUUGCUAAAUUAACUCAGUAGUGCAAUUUUUGUUUCAGUAAGUAUACACAAAGUAUGCAGUCUUCGCUGAAAAGGAGAUUUUUGUUUGAGGUAAUGGGACAGACAGAAAGUGUUUAAAGAAUAGGUAUUGUUAGUUGCUUGAAAUAAUUACAUAUUGAUUCACAGAAAGUUGAUGCUUCCAUAUGUUUUGGGGCUUUUCAUUGUUGAGCAUUCCAACAUUUAUUAAUGUUCCCAUGUUCCCAUUCUUUAAAAUCUGGAUUCUUUUCUUACUUGGCUGCAAUCUUCAUUCCUUCUAUGUAGUGAGGUCUCUGUGGUUCUGUCACUUGGACAGAUAAGUAGAGAACUGAACUAGAAGACAGACUAAUUUUAAAAUAGGAGAGGUCCUUUUCUAGAUGAUAUGAACCGUCUGAUUCAGAAAUAUAAAUGGAUGGACGGUGGAUUGACAGAUGGAUGGAUGGAUGCAUGGCCUUAGGGGCCAAUGCUCCACAUGGUUUUCAGGAUGUCUUUAAGGCUCAUUCAUAUUUGCUGCAAUAAUGACUUGUUAGUGAGUACCGAGUAUAAAGACAUAAAAACCAACAGCUCAGAAAUGUGCCUUGGGACUGUUUCUUUCCUCCUCUUCCUCCUCCUCCUCCCUUUUCUCCUUUUCUCCUCCACCACCAUCACUACUACCACUACCAAAAAUAUUCACCAUUCCCUUUCUGUCCAAAUACACCCAGUUAGAACCAGUUAGAAAUGCUAAAGAGUAGUUGAAAGGAUAAGGCAUGCCAUAUCCUAUCCUUCUUUCUGAGAGGCAAAUAUUGAUCUGUUCUCUGGAUGAGGAGCUUUAGU